GGCGGGCGUGCCGGGGUAUUUUUCACGCCAGAUUUAACAUGGAACAGCAGCUGUUGCAUAUUAUGCAAAUUCCACGUGUUGAGUUGUGAAGAGCUGCAAUUUUAUACGCAUUCGACAGAACACACAGAGAGAGAGAGAGAGCGAGAGGAAGAGAGAUAAAUAUAGAAAGACAAUGACAUAAUGCGAGUUGACAACGUCUUACACUCUCUUAUCUGCGGCUCAAGCUGACGUGGCCUUGGUUAAUGGUCAAAUGAGCGUAAAAGUUGCACAGAUAAGAUUCGCAAGGUAAAUCGGGGCGGCAUUAUCUGUUCGUGGUCAAGUAUUGGAUCUGCUGACGUUGCCAGAUUUGUGCGUUUUGGAAACGUAGCGUAAACACACACAAACACACAAACACACACACAUGAACUGCUGGCAUAAACAAACCGCAGACAGGGCCGCCGCCAUAUUGAUGCAUUGUACUGUUUAGCACGCGCUCAAAGAGCAACAACAAUAAAAGCAACAGAAAUAGAGAGCGAAUAUAAAAUAAAGAGUUGAAUGAACUUCUGCCGCUGCGCAGGCGCGAUCGCAUUAAGCGGCGGCGUACGGUAUUUAAAAGGGCAAGCCAGAAUAGAAAGCAGCGCAAAAGAGACAGAAAUUCUUGACGGAAUAGCGGCGAAAAGUUGUUUAGCUAACCCAGUUUCAAGGCGACAGUUGCUUGACAACUUUUUUCUAUUCUAAAACUAUACUGAUGAAGCGGAUGUAAGAACUAAGCAGCAAGUAGGCGGAAUAUAGCCACGCCCGUAACGACGCAACAGAGUUGCAUUGCCGUGUUGAUAAAACUGAGACAUAUGGAAAUAGAAACUGUUCCGGCCUUAUCUCGGCUUGAGGACGCCGCGCGGCACUCACGAAGCCAAAGAUAAGAGCAGGAACGCAGUGUCAGCUUUAGCUGGCAAACACCAACCGCGCUGACCCUGUUGGGAAAUGUGCCGAAGAAUAAUCUUCUCUGAUUAUGAUGACGCGCAACUUUUGCUUAGCACUUUAACAUUUAAAAACUUACGCGCAACAAAUGCCAGCACAGCUGCCGGCUCGCUUGCGCACAGGUGCUGGCACAUUGCGUGUAAGAGGGAUGGUCGUAUGCAAGGAGAGAGUAACGACAAAAGUAAUGAAAGAGAGGUAAGGAGAGGGCAGAGCGCAAGCCAAUAUCCGCAAAAUCAUCGAUAUGCGAUAAACGAUUAAAUGUAAAAACAAAAAAAAAUAUAUACAAAUGAAUUUUCUCUCACAACUAAAACUUCUGUUCUCUUCCCGCCUUCACAAGCCAAAGGAAGCUUGCCGAGUAGCAACAACAAUCCGACUGGUGGCCAAACUGCCACGCAGACAUAUCUUGUUUCGGAGCAUCACGCUGGGGGCUUGCUCACAAAAGACCACGUAGCCCCUUGUCGAUUUUCAUGAAUCACCAUGAAGCGGCAGCGGUUUAGCGGCCGAUACGGAAAUCGUUGCGGCUGAAUCUACAUAAAACGAACGCACUGUUCCCCUCGAUUUAAGCAAUAAUACUAUGCAAGGGAAAACAAUGCAUGUACAAUAAACCAGACGGCAUGUGAAAAUUAUUUAUAGUAAUAAACACGUUUAUCUAGUACGUUAUCUGUUUAUAUAAAAUAACAAAAGAAGCUUAAGAGUAUUGCCAUGUAUAUACUAUAGAAUUCAAAAAUUCCUCAUAACAAUAAAGGUUUUUUAUAAGCUUGCAA